GUGAGCUUAGUGACUCUAUCGGAUAGAUUAGAAUUAUGGCAUAGGAAACUUGGUCUCCUAGAUGAGAAAGGAUUGAAAUUUCUUUCAAGAGAAGGAGCAUUUAGGAAGGACAAUGUUCACAAGUUAACAUUAUGAACAUUGUAUCCUGGAGAAACAAAAUAGGUUACCAUUUGAGACAGGCAUGCACAAAUUCCCAAGUUUUUAGAGGAAUUGGUAUUUCCCAUCUUUAUUGUGCCAAAGUUGCUAGCCUUAUAUGUUGUGAAGAAGUCUCUGCGUGUAGUGGUAAGAUGCUAUAGUUUCUACUACCCACUUAAUAUCUUAGUUUGAGACGUGAAAACAUGUCUCCUCAUGAAUGGAGCAAAUAGCUACCACCCCAAAAAUAGUAACUUGUGUCUUUCAUUCCUUAUUCUUCGGCUGCAAACUUUUCUAGCCUUGCUCUCACAGCAAUUUUUGACAGUUCUUCUUCAAAUAACCCUCCAUUCCACAAUAGUAACACUUGUAAGUAGGCUUCCUUCCAACUAUGGAUCUAUUCCUACUUUUUCUUCUGCCUCUCUCCCUGCCUUGAAUUCUUUCUUGUUGUCUUCCCUAAUUCUCUGUGACAAAGGCAUGUGAUUGAUCUAUAUUGACAUCCUUUCUCCUGGUUUCUUCAUUAAACAAGGCAUCCUUGACCAUAGAUAUGGUAAGUUUGCCUUAGAGGCAAAGUUGCUAAGAUACUACUAGUCUCUUCCAGCUGUCAGGAAGAGAAUUUAAAAGUAGUAAGGCUUGCAUUUCAUCUCCGAGCGACAUCUCUAUAGAUGACAAUUGUUCACCAAGCUCUUAAAUUCACUGGGGCGCUCAACAACUGAAGUUCCACUCUUCGAUUUCAGAUUCACCAAAUGUCUCAUCAACAGGGCUUUGUUCCGAGUGAUCUUAACCUAGUACAUGUCCUCUAGUUUCUUCCAGAGGGCAUAUGCAUCUGUUUCUUGUGCAACGUUGUGGAAGAUGCUAUGAUCAAUCCAUUAUCGAAUUUGAUUGAUAGUUUUCGUAUAUAGCUUCUUCCAUUCCACCUCCUUGGUAGGCUCGGGGUUUACACAUUUGGCUUAGAGGAGGUUUUACAAAUCUUUACAACUAGUAGGUCUUCCAUUCGAGGCCUACACAAUAUGUAAUUGGUGGCGAUGAGCUUGAUCAUAGCUCCUGAUGAAAAUUCCUCCACUGACAUGACUUCACAACAGCUUGAUGAAAAUCAAAGCUGUACUAAAAAAAUACUAUAAAGGCCAAUUGAUAUUUCAAGCUGUGAUACCACUUGUGAUUCUUUGAUCAUAGAAGAGGAGAUAUAAGAGGAAAAAUAAUUCUAUUUCCUACUUGAAUAGAAUUACAAAGAGAAUUUUGCA
rnacentral:lncRNA from 1 species